GAUUUCUGAUCUUGAUUACAAUGGAUUUGGAGGUGGCUAACAAUCCUGAAUUCCCACAAAUGAGAAAGAAGACUGAAGUUCAGAGAGGUGAAGAGACUGGCUCAGGGGCUACCCCUAUGGUUGGGGGAGCUAAGAUUCCAGCCCAGCAGCACGAUCCAGAGCCCAUCUGAGCUACCCAGAUCUUCCUGCUGUUAAACCUGUCCUGGGGCAGCUCUUGCCUGAUGGGCUACCUGAGAAACCCACAGGAAAUCAAGGGAGGUGCCUGCAAAGUUGCUGUGGGGUCACAGCCUGCCCUUUGGAAGGGGCUAUUUCUGGGCUGCUGUGACUUCCUGCCAUUAUUUCCUUUCUGUUCUCCCUCUGGAAUGAAUAAAGUACUUCUGAAAAAACAUCAACCCAGUUGAUACGGAAAUGCUGGUCCCUGCAAUAGAAUGCUCUGUGGUCAUUAAAAAGAUUAAAAAGGUCAA
rnacentral:antisense_RNA from 1 species